UCACGUCUACUGGAGAUCUACACGCAGAUAUACCGUCACAAAACUCAGGCAGUACGCCGGGAAAAGUCCUUCAGUUCAACAAUCUGACUUGGUCGUUCUAAUUACGGGAUCUCGCAUGGUUGACCCCUCAAUGCCUGUUGGGGCUCCUGAAAUGCUGGGAAUCGCCCUUUCGAAGAAUUUGCAGCCAAUACAGUGUAGCGA
rnacentral:lncRNA from 1 species